rnacentral:rRNA from 1 species
UUGACCUCAAAUCGGGUGAGACUACCCGCUGAACUUAAGCAUAUCAAUAAGCGGAGGAAAAGAAACUAACAAGGAUUCCCCUAGUAACUGCGAGUGAAGCGGGAAAAGCUCAAAUUUAAAAUCUGGUGGUCUCUGGCCAUCCGAGUUGUAAUUUAGAGAAGCGUCUUCCGCGCUGGACCGUGCACAAGUCUCCUGGAAUGGAGCGUCAUAGAGGGUGAGAAUCCCGUCUUUGGCACGGAUGUCCCGGGGCUUUUGUGAUGCGCUCUCGAAGAGUCGAGUUGUUUGGGAAUGCAGCUCAAAAUGGGUGGUGAACUCCAUCUAAAGCUAAAUAUUGGCGAGAGACCGAUAGCGAACAAGUACCGUGAGGGAAAGAUGAAAAGCACUUUGGAAAGAGAGUGAAACAGUACGUGAAAUUGUUGAAAGGGAAACGCUUGAAGUCAGUCGCGUCGACCGAGACUCAGCCUUGCUUCGGCUUGGUGUACUUCUCGGCUUGACGGGUCAGCGUCAAUUUUGUCCCUCGGAUAAUGGCGAGAGAAAGGUGGCACCUUUGCGGGUGUGUUAUAGUCUCUUGUCGCAUGCGAGGGCCAGGAUUGAGGAACUCAGCACG